ensembl:lncRNA
AUAUAAUUUUAUUUUGCGCAUGUGAAUUGCUUUUUGUGAAUAUAUUUUUUUUUUCACGCACGUGAAUUUUUUUUGUGUGUACGUGAAUUAGGUUUCAUGCAUGUGAAAUUGUCUACGCAUGUGUGAAUCGUGUUUUUUGCGUGAAUUAUAUUUGAGACUAAUCUGCUUCCAUAAAAUUCCACCGGUCUUCCGGGGGUCUUUUUAGUCCAUGUGAGAAGAGAGCUCGGAUACACAGCUGUUUCAGCAGCGAUCCAUCUCUAGCCGGCGUUAUUAUGGCAAGACUAGCAGCAUUUCUUCUUGUUCUUAAAACCUGUGCAUCUGUGAGAUCUACCAUGUUUUCUCAAGAAUGCUCUGCAGACAAGGAAAUACCCUGCGAGAGUCUGAGCACCUCUGCGGGCUACACGUACCCGCUGCCGCAGAACAUGAGAGACUUGAGUACAAAGCAUUGUGAACAUGGAUGGUAUUUUCCGAAUGGGACAUUUCUUGUCGAUUCAACUAUGGGUGGCGGAAAAAAUAUGUUAGAAAUUGUAGUUGAUGUAACACCUGAGAACCUGACGGUUAUCACCUGUGAGAACCUGCAAUGGCAACUUCACUGUGUCGAGUUUAACUGUAUGAUCACUUACACAGUUAUAGAUUGGAACACAAACCACAUGCACAAACAGGAUGGCACUGGGGGAUUCCCUAACUGGGGGAUUGCUGUGAUUGGGAUUGUGGCUGUAAUUGGAACCAUUUUUGCAUCUGUUUGGUAUUGUUAUCGAAAAUCUGGAAAUAGGUGGAUUUUACAAAAUUGUGUUUAGUAGGACAAAUUAAUUGUCUGGUGUUUAGGAUCUGAAACAAUAUGCCUUCUGUACCCAAGGUUGCUCCAAAAAGAUUUCCCCUGUAAUUUCUUUCCACUCAUUAAUUUUUCUUUGGCUGGCUUUUAUAAAUGUUAGCUAUUGUAUUAAUGAGAUGAACUUAACACAUAUUGAGAACUAUGUAAAAUAUGUAAUUUCUGUCAUCAGUUGUAAAAUUUUUACUUGAAUUAUUUUUUCUAAAUCAUUAUUUUAACAUUGUAUUAUAUUUUUGUUUAUCUUUUGCCUUUGCUAUCUAGUUGUCUUGUUUCUCUUUUAAUAAAAUCUGAUUGUGAAGUUACGUUUUACA